rnacentral:rRNA from 1 species
GCGCUACGUGGGCGAAGCCUGUCAGCAAUGCCGGAGUGAAGAAGGCCUGAGGGUCGUAAAGCACUUUCGUGAGGAAGAAGGUGGCGAGGCUUGUACCCUUGACCUUUGACGUUUCCCUGCCAACAACCACCGGCUAACUCCGGGCCUUAGCGUUGUUCGGACGGCUGGUGCAAGCGUUAAUCGGAAUUACUGAUUAUAAAGCGCACGAAAUCGGCUGACUAAGUCCCAUGUGAAAGCCCCGGACUCAACCUGGGAACUGCAUUUGAUACUGCUUGGCUUGAGUAUGGUAGAGGGGGGUGGAAUUCCAGGUGUAACGAACAAAAUGCGUAAAUAUUUGUAGGAACACCAGUGCUGAAGGCUGGCCCCCUGAACCAAUACUGACCCUGAGGUGCAAAAGCGUGGGGUAGCAAACAGGAUUAGAUACCCUGGCCAUCCACGCCGUAAACGAUACCCUUUAGCCGUUGGGAACCUUGAUAUCUUAUUGGCGCAGCUAACGCACUAAGUUGAUUAACUGGGGAGUACGGUGACAAGAUUAAAACUHAAAUGAAUUGACGGGCCCAAACAAGCGGAGCACCAUGUGCCUUAAUUCGCAUCGACACGCAGAACCUUACCUGGACAUGACUUGCUGCGUUCUUUCACGAGAUGGAUUGUGCCCUUUGGCUACUCACACACAGGUGCUGCAUGAUGUGCCGUCAGCUCGUGUCGCGAGAUGUUCCGAUAUGUCUAGUUACCAGCGCGUUACUCUUGGCUAAUCUACCAGAAACUGUAUGUGGUGCACUCUAGGAAGACUGGCCAUUGACGACAACGUGCAUGCAUGUCCGUUAUGACGUUGAACUACAUCAUGUGCCAUCACUGGCCAGUGACUACAGACGUUGCUACAAUAGAACUG